rnacentral:rRNA from 1 species
GACGGAGAGUGCAAACGUUGUUCGGAUUUACUGGGCGUAGAGGGCACGUAGGCGGCCAGGCAACUCAGUUGUGGAAUCCCAACGCCUACCGUUGGAACGGCAAUUGAAAAUACCUGGCUCGAGGGCUGAAGGGGUCGCAGGAACUCUUGGUGGAGCGGUGAAAUGCGUAGAUAUCAAGAGGAACGCCGGAGGCGAAAGCGUGCGACUGGUCAGUCCCUGACGCUGAGGUGCGAAAGCUAGGGGAGCAAACAGG